AUCAAGCUGAUGAGCCCAAAAAUAGGACGAAACACGUGUCUUGGAU
rnacentral:hammerhead_ribozyme from 1 species